rnacentral:rRNA from 1 species
UACGUAGGGGGCAAGCGUUGUCCGGAUUUAUUGGGCGUAAAGCGCACGCAGGCGGUGCGGUAAGUUUCGAGUGACAGGUGGUGGCUUAACUGCCACAGGACUUGGAAAACUGCUGCACUUGAGGGCUUGAGAGGGACGCGGAAUUCCAGGUGGAGCGGUGAAAUUCGUAGAUAUUAGGAAGAACACCGGUGGCGAAGGCGGCCCACUGGAUCGGUACUGACGCUGAGGUGCGAAAGCGUGGGGAGCAAACAGG